rnacentral:tRNA from 1 species
GGAGGUAUAGCUCAGUGGUAGAGCACGUGCUGAGCAUGCACACAAGGUCCUGGGUUCAAUCCCCAGUACCUCCA